GGUGGCUCAGCGGUAGAGCACUUGCCUUGCAAGCAUGAGGCCCUGGGUUCAAUUCCUCAGCACCA
rnacentral:tRNA from 1 species